CUAUGCUGCUGUUGUUCCUUCCGCCUCAUUUCCUCCUCAAUGUUGACAUCAUGCAAAGUAGUCUCUUCACAGUCAUCAACCUCCAUGUCUGUCAAGUGUUUACUAGACCUCAUGGGCAAUAUAGUCUCUAACGUACGGCAUUGCUCAGGUGAAAAAACCCCAGAUUCUGGGAAAUCAACAUUGAAAUGGAUGAAUAGCCUGCCCUUCAUGAAAGGUCUUUGAUGAUGGGGCAUACCCUCAUCAUUGAUAGCCUUGUAUUGACCUGCAUUUUCAAGCAGGGGAGAGGAGAUGAGUGAUUGGACGUCAACUUGGAAAAGUAGUUUAAUAAAUAAAUAUGCAAAGGAAAUUACCAGGCUUAAUGACCUCCCCAGGGUUUGAUUUAAUUAGAAGCUGCCUGCCAUCAAGGUGAGUUAGGGCAAACUGAUACCCACACAGAGCCUCUGUCAAACUGAGGUUGUGUUCAACAUAGAGGUCAUCGAAUUUCCGUUCAAAUUUAGGGUGUUUCUUCAGUUGCAAAAGAAAAACAAUGUCUCCAGUAAUUGUAUCUGG
rnacentral:lncRNA from 1 species